GACAAUCUAGCUCAGUAGUAGGGUGCUUGCCUCGUAUGCAUGAGGCCCUGGGUUCAAUGCCUAGCAGUGUCA
rfam:Fukomys damarensis contig71570, whole genome shotgun sequence.